rnacentral:rRNA from 1 species
UACGUAUGGUGCGAGCGUUGUCCGGAUUUACUGGGCGUGAAGGGGGCGCAGGCGGCGCGCCAAGCCCGAUGUGAAAGCCCGGGGCUCAACCCCGGGACUGCAUUGGGAACUGGCGUGCUGGAGUGCCGGAGGGGCAGGCGGAAUUCCUGGUGUAGCGGUGAAGUGCGUAGAUAUCAGGAGGAACACCGGUGGCGAAGGCGGCCUGCUGGACGGAUACUGACGCUGAGGCCCGAAAGCGUGGGGAGCGAACAGG